UACAGAGGGUGCGAGCGUUGUUCGGAAUUACUGGGCGUAAAGCGCACGUAGGCGGCUUUGUAAGUUAGAGGUGAAAGCCCGGAGCUCAACUCCGGAACUGCCUUUAAGACUGCAUCGCUUGAAUCCAGGAGAGGUGAGUGGAAUUCCGAGUGUAGAGGUGAAAUUCGUAGAUAUUCGGAAGAACACCAGUGGCGAAGGCGGCUCACUGGACUGGUAUUGACGCUGAGGUGCGAAAGCGUGGGGAGCAAACAGG
rnacentral:rRNA from 1 species